rnacentral:lncRNA from 1 species
GUCUUCGGCAGCCUGGCGGGGCGCGCGGCGCUCGGGUGCUCCUCUAGGCAGCUCUUCAGAAUUAGCAUCGGAAUAUAUUUUUACGCUGUCUUCGUGUUUUGUCGUUUACAAAAAGAAAGGAACCUGAGGAGCGCGGCGUCCGUGGAGCAAGGCCUCGAUGCUACGGCUGCUCUCGGGGGAAGAGCUGCCCGCCCUCCCGGCCCGACCGGCCCCGGGAGCUUCGGCUUCGUGGACCGAGGCCCCCCGCCGCACCUGCCUGUGGGAUCACGCCUGAAACAUGCUGGCUGCCCUCGCCCGCCCCCCCGGCGCUGAGGCGUUGCUUCGGUUGGGCACUAGUGCGACAGUCUGAAAGCAGGUGAUACUGUAUGAAACUGCUGGCAGCUGAAUCUGCACAGAGUUUUGGUAAACUUCGAAGUCAUAAAUACAAGUUUCUUCUAGGGGAGUUUGCAUGUGUGCGUCUGGUUUUCCAUUUCAUUUUUUUCUUCUAAAUUUGGAAAUGAUCAGAAGGUGACCAGGGAGUCAGUUAUUAGCGUGAAUACUAUCAAACACACUAAGUAGCCAUGCUGAAAAAAUGGGGAGCCCUCCUCCCCCCACAGUCUUUCCAAGAUUACUUGGCUGUGGAUUGCAAGAAUAUUAUCUUCCUUUCAAAUGUA